rnacentral:rRNA from 1 species
UGGGGAAUAUUGCACAAUGGAGGGAACUCUGAUGCAGCGACGCCGCGUGAGUGAUGAAGGAAUUCGUUUCGUAAAACUCUGUUCUAUGGGAAGAAAAGGACUGUACCAUAGGAGAAAGCUCCGGCUAAAUACGUGCCAGCAGCCGCGGUAAUACGUAUGGAGCGAGCGUUGUCCGGAAUUAUUGGGCGUAAAGGGUGCGCAGGCGGCUUUACAAGUUGGAUGUGAAAUAUUGUGGCUCAACCACAAACGUGCAUCCAAAACUGCAAAGCUUGAGUUAAGGAGAGGUAAGUGUAAUUCCUGGUGUAGCGGUGGAAUGCGUAGAUAUCAGGAGGAAUACCGGUGGCGAAGGCGACUUACUGGACUUAAACUGACGCUCAGGCACGAAAGCGUGGGGAGCAAACAGG